UACGAAGGGGGCUAGCGUUGUUCGGAAUUACUGGGCGUAAAGCGUGCGCAGGCGGCUAUCCAAGUCAGGCGUGAAAGCCCCGGGCUUAACCUGGGAGGUGCGUCUGGGACUGGGUGGCUAGAGUUCGGGAGAGGAGAGUGGAAUUCCCAGUGUAGAGGUGAAAUUCGUAGAUAUUGGGAAGAACACCGGUGGCGAAGGCGGCUCUCUGGACCGAGACUGACGCUGAGGCGCGAAAGCGUGGGGAGCAAACAGG
rnacentral:rRNA from 1 species